rnacentral:rRNA from 1 species
GACAGAGGGGGCAAGCGUUGCUCGGAAUCACUGGGCGUAAAGGGCGCGUAGGCGGGAUGGCAAGUCAGUCGUGAAAUCUCUCGGCUCAACCGAGAAACGUCGGCUGAUACUGCCGUUCUUGAGGGAUGCAGAGGAGACUGGAAUUCCCGGUGUAGCGGUGAAAUGUGUAGAGAUCGGGAGGAACACCAGUGGCGAAGGCGGCGACCUGGGCCAAUAUUGACGCUGAGGUGCGAAAGCGUGGGGAGCAAACAGG